AACGAACGCUGGCGGCAGGCCUAACACAUGCAAGUCGAGCGCGGUCCUUCGGGACUGAGCGGCGGACGGGUUAGUAACGCGUGGGAACGUACCCUUUUCUACGGAAUAGCCUCGGGAAACUGAGAGUAAUACCGUAUAAGCCCUUCGGGGGAAAGAUUUAUCGGGAAAGGAUCGGCCCGCGUUAGAUUAGAUAGUUGGUGGGGUAAUGGCCUACCAAGUCUACGAUCUAUAGCUGGUUUUAGAGGAUGAUCAGCAACACUGGGACUGAGACACGGCCCAGACUCCUACGGGAGGCAGCAGUGGGGAAUCUUGGACAAUGGGCGCAAGCCUGAUCCAGCCAUGCCGCGUGUGUGAUGAAGGCCUUAGGGUCGUAAAGCACUUUCGCCAGGGAUGAUAAUGACAGUACCUGGUAAAGAAACCCCGGCUAACUCCGUGCCAGCAGCCGCGGUAAUACGGAGGGGGUUAGCGUUGUUCGGAAUUACUGGGCGUAAAGCGCACGUAGGCGGACUAGUCAGUCAGAGGUGAAAUCCCAGGGCUCAACCCUGGAACUGCCUUUGAUACUGCCAGUCUUGAGUUCGAGAGAGGUGAGUGGAAUUCCGAGUGUAGAGGUGAAAUUCGUAGAUAUUCGGAGGAACACCAGUGGCGAAGGCGGCUCACUGGCUCGAUACUGACGCUGAGGUGCGAAAGUGUGGGGAGCA
rnacentral:rRNA from 1 species